rnacentral:lncRNA from 1 species
AGGCGUGAGAAGAGAAGGUGCAUGGCUGCUUUGUACAUGGAAAGGUUUCACGAGAAACUUUCUCGUGUAAGAUAUGGGGCGCUAAAGAGGAUAAGGACAUGGCGCAUGGAUGGAUUGCUCAUUCAAAUUCAAACUUUGUUUUGAAUUUGAAUGGCCAACCAACCAUCCUUAUCCACCUAUGUGGCACACAAAUGUGGGG